rnacentral:lncRNA from 13 species
CCGGGGCCGGUGGGGGCUGAGCCGGGACUCCUCAGCACCGCUGCCCCGCUCAGGCCCGGGAGCCCGCGUACCUGGCAGUCAGUCCGUCUUUCCGCCGCGCCGAGAGAUGUGGACUUCAUUUGGAUAAAAUGUCUGCUUCUCUGAGUUCUUCAAGAUUGUGGCUUCUUAGUCACUGGAGGAAGCCCUCUUUAUCCUGGAAUGAUACAGACGUCAGCAUAAGUGCGUUCCUUACACCUCAAUGGGCCCUCAGUCAUUGAGGAUACAGGUGCAGCUCUGUUCAGUGCUCAGCCGAGGGAAUGCCCAGUGUCUUUGGAAUCCUUACAACCAGAAACCUGCUUUAUUUUUUUCUAAAGGACUUAAUUUAUAGAAAUGGCUUGAGAAAGACAUAUUGAAGAG